UAUCAUGGAGUCUGACAAGAUGCCCUCUCCCAAGAGCAUGUGGGAAGAUACACAGAUAAUGGCACAAAUACUGAAGGAUAUGAGGAUUACAAAGUAUGAACUUAGAGUUAUAAAUCAGAUGUUGGAGUUUGACUUCUGGUAUGUGACUACAAUUUUAGAUGAGACAAAAAUUUACUUAAGCCAGUCUAAGAAAGCUACUGUUGAUGCAGAUGAUAUGCGAUUGGCAAUGCAGUGUUGCACUGACCAGCUGACCAACCAACAGGUUUUUUAUUAAUACCUCUUCUCCCCUAAGAGCUUUUCUGUUAGAUAUUGCAAGUCAAAGAAAUUAAACUCCUUUGCCAUUAAUCAAGCCAUAUUUAGGUCCUAAUUCAAUAUCCUAACAGACAUUGCUUAAUCGCUUCAAACUAUAGGCUUAAGUCUUUACAGAAAAAGAUUUCUACUUCUGCAGGAAGAGUAACAAUUCCAUGGUUAAGCAUUGGUUCAGUUACUAGCAGACCAAGUAAUCCUACAUUAGGUGCAACCACCCCACAAAUCAUGUCUGUUUUAACUAAAGUAUGGACUCCAAUGUCCCUCACAGGGAGAAAGGUUUACAGUACAGCUUUCUGCUUCACAGACUCCAGCUAUAAAAGCAUCAAUUUCUGCAACAUCAUCAGUAAAGAGUGUUCCAAUUAAUCAAUCAUUAUUUAGGUCCAAAAGCAUUCUUAUUACCACUAAUAUGGAGUCACCACAAAAUAUUGCCAAUGGAUCAUCAAGUCCAUUUAAAAGGAAGCAUUAAGAAGAUGAUAAUGAUAAUAAUGACAACUACAACUAUGGU
rnacentral:lncRNA from 1 species